GUUGAACGCUGGCGGCAGGCUUAACACAUGCAAGUCGAGCGGAGAUGAGGUGCUUGCACCUUAUCUUAGCGGCGGACGGGUGAGUAAUGCUUAGGAAUCUGCCUAUUAGUGGGGGACAACAUUCCGAAAGGAAUGCUAAUACCGCAUACGUCCUACGGGAGAAAGCAGGGGAUCUUCGGACCUUGCGCUAAUAGAUGAGCCUAAGUCGGAUUAGCUAGUUGGUGGGGUAAAGGCCUACCAAGGCGACGAUCUGUAGCGGGUCUGAGAGGAUGAUCCGCCACACUGGGACUGAGACACGGCCCAGACUCCUACGGGAGGCAGCAGUGGGGAAUAUUGGACAAUGGGGGGAACCCUGGUCCAGCCAUGCCGCGUGUGUGAAGAAGGCCUUAUGGUUGUAAAGCACUUUAAGCGAGGAGGAGGCUACUGAGACUAAUACUCUUGGAUAGUGGACGUUACUCGCAGAAUAAGCACCGGCUAACUCUGUGCCAGCCGCCGCCGUAAUAC
rnacentral:rRNA from 1 species